AUUGAACGCUGGCGGCAGGCUUAACACAUGCAAGUCGAGCGGAGAUGAGGUGCUUGCACCUUAUCUUAGCGGCGGACGGGUGAGUAAUGCUUAGGAAUCUGCCAUUUAGUGGGGGACGACAUUCCGAAAGGAAUGCUAAUACCGCAUACGUCCUACGGGAGAAAGCAGGGGAUCUUCGGACCUUGCGCUAAAUGAUGAGCCUAAGUCGGAUUAGCUAGUUGGUGGGGUAAAGGCCUACCAAGGCGACGAUCUGUAGCGGGUCUGAGAGGAUGAUCCGCCACACUGGGACUGAGACACGGCCCAGACUCCUACGGGAGGCAGCAGUGGGGAAUAUUGGACAAUGGGCGGAAGCCUGAUCCAGCCAUGCCGCGUGUGUGAAGAAGGCCUUUUAGUUGUAAAGCACUUUAAGCGAGGAGGAGGCUACUAGUACUAAAACUACUGGAUAGUGGACGUUACUCGCAGAAUAAGCACCGGCUAACUCUGUGCCAGCCGCCGCCGUAACAC
rnacentral:rRNA from 1 species